ACUGGAGUCUGCAACCCGACUCCACGAAAUUGGAUUCGCUAGUAAUCGCGCAUCAGCCAUGGCGCGGUGAAUACGUUCCCGGGCCUUGUACACACCGCCCGUCAAGCCAUGGGAGCCGGGGGCGCCUGAAGUCCGGGACCGCGAGGACCGGCCUAGGGCGAAACUGGUAACUGGGGCUAAGUCGUAACAAGGUAGC
rnacentral:rRNA from 1 species